rnacentral:misc_RNA from 1 species
AAGUCGUAACAAGGUUUCCGUAGGUGAACCUGCGGAAGGAUCAUUAAUGAAGUCUGGGCUCCGGCCCUCUCUCUUCUACACACUUGUGAACUUACACUGUUGCUUUGGCAGGUUUCCGGAGGGGCGAAAGCUCUGAAGGUCAGGUCGAAAGGCGCCUGUCAAGGACAUUUAUCCACCCUCUUUAUAUUGUCUGAUUUUUGUUUUUAACAAAUUAUAAUAAAA